UACGUAGGCAGCGAGCGUUGUUCGGAGUUAUUGGGCGUAAAGAGCUCGUAGGCGGUUUGUCGCGUCUGCCGUGAAAAGUCCGGGGCUCAACUCCGGAUCUGCGGUGGGUACGGGGCAGACUAGAGUGAUGUAGGGGAGACUGGAAUUCCUGGUGUAGCGGUGAAAUGCGCAGAUAUCAGGAGGAACACCGGUGGCGAAGGCGGGGUCUCUGGGCCGAUACUGACGCUGGAGGAGCGAAAAGCGUGGGGAGCAAAACAGG
rnacentral:rRNA from 1 species